CUACGGGGCGCUGCAGUGAGGAAUAUUGCACAAUGGGGGGAACCCUGAUGCAGCAACGCCGCGUGGAGGAUGACGCAUUUCGGUGUGUAAACUCCUUUUAUAUGUCAAGAAAAUGACGGUAGCAUAUGAAUAAGCACCGGCUAACUGCGUGCCAGCAGCCGCGGUAAUACGGAGGGUGCAAGCGUUACUCGGAAUCACUGGGCGUAAAGGACGCGUAGGCGGGUUGGAAAGUCAGGUGUGAAAUCCUACAGCUUAACUGUAGAACUGCACUUGAAACUUCUGAUCUAGAGUAUGGGAGGGGGAGAUGGAAUUAGUGGUGUAGGGGUAAAAUCCGUAGAUAUCACUAGGAAUACCUAAAGCGAAGGCGAUCUCCUGGAACAUUACUGACGCUAAGGCGUGAAAGCGUGGGGAGCAAACAGGAUUAGAUACCCCUGUAGUC
rnacentral:rRNA from 1 species